GAAGACUUCGAAAGUUGCUAUUGAUUUCAGUUAAAUAGCAGUCUUCCAUACAUCAGGAACUAUGCCUCCAACACCUCCCCUCCUAAGCUAAAAGAAGCAGGAAUCUGUUAUUUGUCACUAGACUGGUGUGCCCCAACAGAAACCCAAAUGACACUCCUACUUAUGUACUAGAAAUGGAGGAAGCAGGAUCUGGUUUAGAUUUUAAGCCGAAAUACAAUGGAGAAGAGUUCUCAUGCACUAUAAGAAGUCUUCAGAGAAGUACUACAUACAAG